rnacentral:rRNA from 1 species
UACGUAGGGUGCAAGCGUUUGUCCGGAAUUAUUGGGCGUAAAGAGCUCGUAGGCGGCUUGUCGCGUCGACCGUGAAAACUCGCAGCUCAACUGCGAGCCUGCGGUCGAUACGGGCAGGCUAGAGUUCGGUAGGGGAGACUGGAAUUCCUGGUGUAGCGGUGAAAUGCGCAGAUAUCAGGAGGAACACCGAUGGCGAAGGCAGGUCUCUGGGCCGAUACUGACGCUGAGGAGCGAAAGCGUGGGGAGCGAACAGG